GCUAAAACGGAAUUCAUGAUAAUAGGAUUUCGUCAAAGAUUACUAGUACAUGAUCACGAGCACAUAAGGAUAGAAAUCGACGGAAAGACAAUUAAGAGAGUCAACGAAACGAAAUCCUUAGGCUUGCAAAUCGAUGAGCAUCUUACAUGGACACGACACUUCGAAAAUAUUUCCAAAAAUAUUGCAUCAGUUAUUGGAGCUCUUAAACGGAUACGCCAAUUUAUAGAUACAAACGCUGCUCUGAAAAUUUAUGGAGCAUUAAUUCAACCGCACUUUGAUUAUCGUAGCUCAGUUUGGAAUGGUUUGAAUAUCACGUUAAAUGACAAAUUGCAAAAUAGGACAGUGAGGGUCAUCGCUAAAUCUCAAUAUGAUGCUAGUUCCAGCGACCUUUUUAGUAAGCUGGGCUGGGAUAAUCUUU